rnacentral:misc_RNA from 1 species
UGACACUCCCUUGAGGCAUGUUGUGGCUUGUUUGUACAAUCGAGGAAGUUGAAGAAGCUAGGAUGCAGAACUGGGCUACGGAAGAAGCAGAACAACAACAAAACAAAAAAAACUGAACUUAAAGAAUUUGAUUAUUGUGCAGGUUCCAUGUAAUGCCUCUGGGCUCUUGUCUUGCUGAUCUUCGAUAUUUUACAUGAUAUGCUGUUAUUUUAAAGCUUUUAGCUCCAAAAGAAAAGGAGAUCCUAGUGACAAAGCUUUCAUUGAGCUUCUCUGUACAUAUUUGUCAAGGAAAAUACUAGCACAUAUAACAAACAUCCAAGAAUUCGUAGAUGAGCA